rnacentral:rRNA from 1 species
ACUCAUGACUUUAUCACGUUGAUUGCACUGGUUCUCGUCCGAUCACCGGAAGUUGAGCAACAUCGAACCUUGUUAGUACUUAAGAAGGGUGACCGCUUGGGAAACCUAGGUGAUGUAAACA